rnacentral:lncRNA from 1 species
GGCCUGGUGUACUCCUCUGCUUGCCCAAGACAAAAGGGAGCAAAGAAUGCUACUCAUGUUGGUUACAGAGGAAUUUGAUCCUUCGAAUAUAUGCCUUGAAUCUGAGGCCACAGGGCAAAGUCUGAACUUAGAAAGAUCAGAGCUGUUCAUCUAUCCACUUGCCUAGAAUGUGAAUGUCAGAAGGAAGAGAUGAAUGAUUUCCAUUAGAAGCAGGAUGUGGUAGAAAGGAUGGUGCCUUGUUGACCUCUGAUGGCCUCCAAGCUGGAAAAUGAAUGAAGAAUCACAAGUAAUUGCACACAGCCCAGAUAACAGAAAAAAUAUCAUUGAGUGAAGAAUUACAGUUUGUAAACCUCCCCUUAUGCUGUGAAGAAGGAAAGGGAAGGGAAGAGAAUGAAGAAGAUGGGUGAGGAGGAACCUUUUUCAAAUUUCUGCUAUUCCCAGAGGUGCUGGCAAGGAGGUGGAAAGGCUGACUGUCCCCUCCCCGAUGACAGACUAUCCCCAGCCUGGUUCCUAGGGAGAAGUUCGUCUGCUAUUCUUCUCAUUUUAGACAUGAGGAGACUGAAGGUCAGAGAGAUUUUAUUCCCAAUCAUUUGUGCCUGGUGUAUCAUACUCUUCAGCACCAAGUCCCAGUGCUGACUUGUACAGUGUAAUUAAAUCUACCUGAUUUAGUGAAUGCUUGUCCCCAAUAAUCUGCUCUGCAGCUAUGCCACCAGAACAUGAAUUCCUUAUGCAGUGCUCAUCUACAAUGCAGCUUUGGGUGAUGUUUC